UACGUAGGGUGCAAGCGUUGUCCGGAAUUAUUGGGCGUAAAGAGCUCGUAGGUGGCCUGUCGCGUCGGCUGUGAAAACUCGGGGCUCAACUCCGAGCUUGCAGUCGAUACGGGCAGGCUAGAGUUCGGGCAGGGGAGACUGGAAUUCCUGGUGGUAGCGGUGAAAUGCGCAGAUAUCAGGAGGAACACCGGUGGCGAAGGCGGGGUCUCUGGGCCGAUACUGACACUGAGGAGCGAAAGCGUGGGGAGGCGAACAGGAAUAGA
rnacentral:rRNA from 1 species